rnacentral:rRNA from 1 species
CCUACGUGUGGCAGCAGUGGGGAAUAUUGGGCAAUGGGCGCAAGCCUGACCCAGCAAAGCCGCGUGAAGGAAGAAGGCUUUCGGGUUGUAAACUUCUUUUCUCAGGGACGAAGAAAGUGACGGUACCUGAGGAAUAAGCCACCGUACACUUAGUGCCCGCAGCGGCGGUAAUACGUAGGUGGCAAGCGUUAUCCGGAUUUAUUGGGUGUAAAGGGCGUGUAGGUGGGAGCGCAAGUAUGAUGUGAAAACUCAGGGCUCAACCCUGAGCCUGCAUUUGAAACUGUGUUUCUGGAGUGCUGGAGAGGCAAUCGGAAUUCCGUGUGUAGCGGUGAAAUGCGUAGAUAUACGGAGGAACACCAGUGGCGAAGGCGGAUUGCUGGACAGUAACUGACGCUGAGGCGCGAAAGCGUGGGGAGCAAACAGGAUUAGAUACCCCAGUAGUC